GAUGAACGCUGGCGGCGUGCCUAAUACAUGCAAGUCGAGCGAAGCGGGGACGGGUGAGUAACACAUGUAUAACCUCCUAUAAGACUGGGAUAAAUUCGUGAAAACGGAGCUAAAACGGAUACUUAUCGAUGGAUCCGCGCUGCAUUAGCUAGUUGGUAAGGUAACGGCUUACCAAGGCAACGAUCCAUAGCCGACCUGAGAGGGUGAUCGGCCACACUGGAACUGAGACACGGUCCAGACUCCUACGGGAGGCAGCAGUGGGGAAUCUUCCACAAUGGGCGAAAGCCUGACGGAGCAACGCCGCGUGAGUGAAGAAGGCCUUCGGAUUGUAAAGCUCUUUUAUUAGGGAAGCGUUACCUAAUCAGAAAGCCACGGCUAACUACGUGCCAGCAGCCGCGGUAAUUC
rnacentral:rRNA from 1 species